CGGGACGGGUGAGUAAUGUCUGGGAAACGUGCCUGAUGGAGGGGGGUAACUACUGGAAACGGUAGCUAAUACCGCAUAACGUCGCAAGACCAAAGAGGGGGACCUUCGGGCCUCUUGCCAUCGGAUGUGCCCAGAUGGGAUUAGCUAGUAGGUGGGGUAAAGGCUCACCUAGGCGACGAUCCCUAGCUGGUCUGAGAGGAUGACCAGCCACACUGGAACUGAGACACGGUCCAG
rnacentral:rRNA from 1 species